rnacentral:ncRNA from 1 species
AGCAAAAAGCGCCUGAGCCGUUUUGAGCGAAAUAUAUUAUGCUUUAUCGCCAACCGGCUGACGAGGGUGGAAGUUAAUCGAAAUAUUCGGCGGAUGCUUCCCGGCUUCGCAGAGAAGCUGCAUAUCGGCAUACAAAAUCCUCGGGUGACCGGGGAACAGAAGU